rnacentral:rRNA from 1 species
UACGAGAGCCCCGAGCGUUAUCCGGAAUUAUUGGGCGUAAAGGGUGCGUAGGCGGUUGUGUUAGUCGAGUGUUAAAGGCCCGGGCUUAACUUGGGAAAUGCAUUCGAAACGGCACGACUUAGAAUGAGGGAGAGGUGUGCGGAACUCAUGGUGUAGGGGUGAAAUCCGUUGAUAUCAUGGGGAACACCAAAUGCGAAAGCAGCACACUGGCCUUUUCCUGACACUGAAACACGAAAGCGUGGGUA